rnacentral:rRNA from 1 species
AGAGGGUGCGAGCGUUAAUCGGAAUUACUGGGCGUAAAGGGCGCGUAGGUGGUUAAUUAAGUCAGAUGUGAAAUCCCUGGGCUCAACCUAGGAAUUGCAUAUGAAACUGGUUAUCUAGAGUUUGGUAGAGGGAAGUGGAAUUUCCGGUGUAGCGGUGAAAUGCGUAGAUAUCGGAAGGAACAUCAGUGGCGAAGGCGACUUCCUGGCCCAAUACUGACACUGAGGCGCGAAAGCGUGGGUAGCGAACAGGGAUUAGAUACCCUGGUAGUCCACGCUGUAAACGAUGAGAACUAGAUGUUAGGGUGCUAGUCACUUUAGUAUCGCAGCUAACGCGUUAAGUUCUCCGCCUGGGAGUACGGCCGCAAGGUUA